rnacentral:tRNA from 1 species
GACCGCGUAGCUCAGUUGGCAGAGCAUUUGGGCUAGUAUCCCAAAGGUCGUAGGUUCGAUUCCCACCGUGGCCA